UGACCUCAUGAUCUGCCCUCCUCAGCCUCCCAAAGUGCUAGGAUUACAGAUGUGAGCCACCGCCCCCGGCCACAGGACCUUAUGAGUCCAGGUUUUUCUUUUACUUUUAUUUGAACUUCAAAGGAAGACGAUCUUGGUAUUUUCAUUUCAAAAAAUGUUGUGGGAAAUGCCAUCAGGGAAAUGAAUCUUCGGUGGUGGCACUCCAGGCUUGGCAUAACAGCAUGCAUUUUUGCUGGUUUUAAGUGCAAAGGAUAGCUCUUAAUGCCCCUUACUGCAUUGCCAUAGUCUAUCUUCCUGGAUUCUUUACUUGUUUUGCAGGCUGAGACCUGGGAUAUUGGAAUGCGAAGGAGAUUAGAAGCUGGUUACAUUUAAACAGGCAAGCCAGCUGAGGAAGAGCUGGGGCUGGAGCUGAAUUCUCCCAUUUAUCAACGUCUUCACCAAGGAGUCCUUGUCACCCCUUCCAGUCACCCACACAGCCCCCUGAGCCAUUUCAGUCCCCACUACGAUGGCUUGCUGAGUCCUGGAUGCUGAUUAAAAACCUGGACGGUGAGCACACUGAGAAGAAACAGACAUCGUGGUCAAGAGCAGAACCUCUAGAGUCAGAAGAACUUCAUGAAUAAGGAAUAAAUUACCUGAGACAACACUACUGCUGCAUGGAGGUCUCAACUCAAGCCGUUCUGUGCUGCGGCAUUUGUUUUAACCAAAUCCCAUUUAAAUGACCAGGGUUGCAUAUAUACAAAAUUGGAUAGGUGGCUAAUGAUGCAUGAGCACAUUUUAUAGGAAUCCACUUGACCUGCAAGGGAUCAAUUCCAUGAUUUGAUUAAAGGCUUAACCUUUCAGAGUCCAGCUUUGACCCUGUGUUCACAGAUAAAUCUCCAAAGCUGAUAGAUUCUGACAUUUAAGACUUAGAUUUAAGGAAAAGCGAUAUCCCAUUCUCCAUUUUUCUAGUAGAAAUGAAAUAGACCCAGCUGCACCAUUAAUUAGCUGCAUCAUUUUGUAUAACUCUCAUAUGCUCUCUUGGCCUCAGUCUCCCCAUUGGUAAAAUAAUAGAAAGCAUGUUUUACAUGUUUGGGAAGCAUGUUUACAACUUGGCUUCUCAGCUUCUUGGGGUUUUAUAAAGG
rnacentral:lncRNA from 1 species